UUUGAGAGUUUUCCCCUCAGUAGGUGAGCUAACGAGUCCAGGGUAAGAGCUUAAUUUACAUGCAUCCUCCCUGCCUUUCUGUGAGUAUUCAUUCAGUGGAUAGUUGCCAAGUAACAGAAAAUGCGUCUAGCCUUAGAUGUUUCUAUGUUUAACCACAGGGUCAUUUCUGAGCUACAAAGUCAAGUGCAGGAACCCCUGGAACAGAAGGCACAGAAUAAGAAGGAGAUUGAAAGGUUACUGUCGUCACUGGGGAUCUUGAAAAUGCUGGCACCACGGCAACAGUGUCCCUUUACGACUAUGGAGAAACAAGAUGUGCGGGUCCUAUUAUUUUGGGCUCUGGGAAACACCAACUGUUUAACGCCAACAGUGCAGAUACCUUCAAGGUAAAAUCUCAUGCUGUAACUUUCUUACUAAGACAUAUUACAACAUGCGUUCCCUAAGAUGGAAUAGAGGACAUUUUCUUGGGGAACAUGAAAUCCUUUGUCCUAAGGGAGUUAGGAAAUAGAAUAAUGACAAGGAUAUAAGAUUUUUGUUUCUCCCCUACUUUUCAUUUGUAUAAAGCCAUAGAGUAUAGGAACUUAAGAAAGUUUAAAAAUUAGAGGGAAAAAAUUUACUCAUAAUCCUGCUGUCAAGUCAGAUGUUUCCAUUUGGAGUAUCUUUUCUGGUACUCGUCCGCGUCCAUGGAGCAUGAGGCUCUGCUGGACAGAGGGUGCAGCCCCAGGGCCAGGACUUGGUCUGAGGGGUCAGAUGGUCAAGAUUCAGAUGCUGACUUUACCACGCACUAACCCGGUGACUUCUGCCAGUCCCUCAACUGCCAUGUGCCUCAAUAUCCCUCACCUCAAAGGGUUACCAUGACGAUUAAAUGAAUUAAUUCUUGGAAAGUGUUUAAGGCAGUACCUGAAAUGCUCCAUAAAUGUUUGCUUUUAAUAUUGUGUAAUGCAAGAAACUUUGUGGUCCCUGAUUUAAACAAGGAGCUGGUCUUUCUAGUUAUAAUUUUUAUUGAUUAAAUACUGUGUAUGGAAAGCUCCAGCUGACAUGCCCAGCCUGGGUUGGGCCAGGCCAGGCCAGGGGCAGGCGGCCAUGGAGCAGGAUGGAGACUAGCUGUCCUGCGACUGGCUCUGAAAAAACAAUACUGAGUAUGUGAAAUUUACCAUUGUAUUUACCAUAGGUGAAUGAAGCACUUUGUUGGACAUUUAUUUUUUUUAAAUUUUUUACAAGGUAUAGUUGAUGUACAAUGUUCCUUCAAUUUCUACGGUACAGCAAAGGUGACCCAGCCACCCACACACCCGUUCUUUUAUUUUUCUAACCCCAAAGACCAGAC
ensembl:lncRNA